rnacentral:rRNA from 1 species
GACGAACGCUGGCGGCGUGCUUAACACAUGCAAGUCGAACGAUGAAGCCGGAGCUUGCUCUGGUGAAUUAGUGGCGAACGGGUGAGUAACACGUGAGUAACCUGCCCUUGACUCUGGAAUAACUGCUAGAAAUGGUAGCUAAUACCGGAUACGACCCUCGGAGGCAUCUCCAGGGGGUGGAAAGGAUUUCGGUCAAGGAUGGACUCGCGGCCUAUCAGCUAGUUGGUGAGGUAACGGCUCACCAAGGCGACGACGGGUAGCCGGCCUGAGAGGGUGACCGGCCACACUGGGACUGAGACACGGCCCAGACUCCUACGGGAGGCAGCAGUGGGGAAUAUUGCACAAUGGGCGCAAGCCUGAUGCAGCAACGCCGCGUGAGGGAUGACGGCCUUCGGGUUGUAAACCUCUUUUAGCAGGGAAGAAGCGAGAGUGACGGUACCUGCAGAAAAAGCACCGGCUAACUACGUGCCAGCAGCCGCCGUAA